AAAACAACAAAAAAAAAAGAGAGAGAGAGAGAAAAGAAAAGAAAAAAGAGAAAGAAAAAAAAGAGCGCUGCGUGAAACCGGAUGAUUUUCUGCACUUUUAAAGUGCGCUUCAGGGGGAUUUUUGAAAAGUUGUUUUUUUUUUUUUUUUUUUUUAAAGAAAAAAAAAAAAGAAAAAGAAAAAAGUGGGCAGGGAGUGUGCUCGAGGUGUCUCGUGCGCUCUGACGCGCUCUCUCUGUCUGUCUCUUUUGUGGUGGGGAACCCGGGAACCAUCCUCCUUCCAUCCAUCAGCCCUGAAGUUUAGCAUCUGUUGCUUUUGAAAGAAGGAAGGAGGGCCAAAGAAAGAAAGACAAACAAGACGCACCAAACAAAUAAAAACGGAAGAUGCGUCUCGCGCGGUGAGGGCUCGGUGCGGGUCACCUGUUGCGGGAGAAAGCAUGGGAGUGCUCAGCGCGGACCUGCGGGUCACCCUGCAGAUUCUACCCGGCUUCUUCUCCAACUGCCUGUUCUUCGUGCUCUACGACUCGGUAGUGCUCGUGAAGCGCGUCGUGUCGCUCGUGAGCCUCUCGUGCGGCGGCGGCGGCGGCGCGUGGCAGCAGCGCAUGUUGACCUCGGCCGGCGUGCGCUCCAUCUGGAACAGCUUUCUGCUGGACGCCUAUAAGCAGAAUUUUCUCCCGGACUUGUUGUGAUGGCAGCUUGUCAGGAUGCUGUUUGUUCAUGACGGUUUGACCUUUACAGACCACAUUUCAACAACUCCACGAUCCUGUAGGUUCAUUCCGUACGACAUCAAGAAAAUCAGACCGGAUCUCACCGAACAGGCUACGCGGAUACUAGUCCAGGCUCUUGUCAUAUCAAAACUGGACUACUGCAACGCACUACUCUCGGGUCUCCCAGCCAGCUCCAUCAAACCCCUUCAGAUGAUUCAGAAUGCAGCAGCACGCCUCGUCUUCAACCAGCCCGAAAGGACCCACCCUCUUCAUCUCCCUCCACUGGCUUCCUGUAUCCGCCCGUAUCAAAUUCAAGGCCUUGAUGAUCACGUACAAGACCUUGUCUGGAACCGCGCCCCCUUACCUCAACACUCUCCUGAAGGCUUACGUUCCCUCACGCGAUCUGCGAUCGGUUAACGACCGACGCUUAGAAGUGCCUACUCAGCGUGCCUCAAGGUCCCUUUCCAGAACCUUCAAACUAACCGUUCCUCAGUGGUGGAAUGAACUUCCGACCUCAAUCCGGACCGUACAAUCCGUCACUAUCUUCCAAAAAAACAGCUAAAGACCCAGCUCCUCCGUGAACACCUAACUAACCCCUAAGAUGUUCACCCCCACAUUAUUUCUUAAAAUAAAUAAAUAAAUAACAGAAAUCUCUGGCUCUUACACCUCUGCGCACUUUCCUUCACUAGAACUCGAUUAUAAAUCUUGCAUUGCAGCACGACUUGCAUUGAAAGAUCAUUUGUAAGUCGCUUUGGAUAAAAGCGUCCGCUAAAUGAAUAAAUGCAAUGGAAUGUUCAG
ensembl:lncRNA